GUGUUCAUUGCAUGUCAGAUGUGAAACUCCCUCUACUUGUAGCGAAAAAAGCUGCGCUGAGGGAGGGUUAACCUAACCGAACUGCUCCGUGCAUGGUAUUUUUAGUAUCAUGUACGGCUCUUGGUCCUUAGUCGCUUGGAAGGAAGCGGCCAUCACAUCUGGCCAUUGCUUUUGUUUUUUU
rnacentral:telomerase_RNA from 1 species